UACAGAGGUCUCAAGCGUUGUUCGGAUUCAUUGGGCGUAAAGGGUGCGUAGGCGGCGCGGUAAGUCGGGUGUGAAAUUUCGGAGCUUAACUCCGAAACUGCAUUCGAUACUGCGGUGCUUGAGGACUGGAGAGGAGACUGGAAUUCAUGGUGUAGCAGUGAAAUGCGUAGAUAUCAGGAGGAAGACCGAUGGCGAAGGCAGGUCUCUGGGCAAUAACUGACGCUCAGGCACGAAAGCGUGGGGAGCAAACAGG
rnacentral:rRNA from 1 species